rnacentral:rRNA from 1 species
ACACUGCAUGCCCUAGUACGGCGAGUGAAGCGGCAACAGCUCAAAUUUGAAAUCUGGCUUCGGCCCGAGUUGUAAUUUGCARAGGAAGCUUUAGGCGCGGCACCUUCUGAGUCCCCUGGAACGGGGCGCCAUAGAGGGUGAGAGCCCCGUAUAGUUGGAUGCCUAGCCUGUGUAAAGCUCCUUCGACGAGUCGAGUAGUUUGGGAAUGCUGCUCAAAAUGGGAGGUAAAUUUCUUCUAAAGCUAAAUACCGGCCAGAGACCGAUAGCGCACAAGUAGAGUGAUCGAAAGAUGAAAAGCACUUUGAAAAGAGGGUUAAAUAGCACGUGAAAUUGUUGAAAGGGAAGCGCUUGUGACCAGACUUGCGCCGGGCGGAUCAUCCGGUGUUCUCACCGGUGCACUCCGCCCGGCUCAGGCCAGCAUCGGUUCUCGCGGGGGGAUAAAGGCCCUGGGAACGUAGCUCCUCCGGGAGUGUUAUAGCCCGGGGCGUAAUGCCCUCGCGGGGACCGAGGUUCGCGCAUCUGCAAGGAUGCUGGCGUAAUGGUC